CAGAAAUGAAGACAAAGACAAAAAAUAUUUGUUUUAAAAGAGGGGUCAGGGGGCUCAUUUCUUCUAGUCAGCAAAGGCCCUGAGCUUCUACAGGCCUUCAUAUUUAUUAGGCAGAAUCAACAGGGAGGAAAGGCAAUUGUUGGUCAGCUGCUUGAUUUAUCACAGGCUCACAUAAUUGCUUUCUUUGUACUACAGACUUCAGAUGUUCCUAUAUAUAACCACAAGAAAUAUGUGCUUGGGGCAUGACUGCCCU
rnacentral:lncRNA from 1 species